rnacentral:lncRNA from 1 species
CACUGCAUGCUGAGCAGUUUUGUUAUGAAGUGUGAUUUUUGUGCUUAAGCAUUGUAUGAUUUGUUCAUCCACAGGAAACAUGAUGGCAGAGUCCCUCGAAUCUCUGAUGUGUUAGAGCAUCCCCUGAGCCCCCUACAACCCCUGCCCGUUCCUUCUGGGCUUCCUAAGAACAGCAGAAUGGAUGAGCAGAGAUGCACACUUCCACCCCCCCUCAAAGUAAGAGCAAUUGCACACCUGUACAUGUGCACAAACACACACACACACACACACACAUA